CCCAGGAUGCUGGCGCCUCCCGGAACCCGGGCGGACCGAGUCUUCGCCGCCCGCUUUUGGUUCCGGGAGACUUUGCGUCCGGCUCUCAGCCACCGUUACCGAUAACUCGAACUCCCGCACAGGCGCAGGGAGACAGCUGAUACAUUUAGUUCCUUGUCCCCAGGCAGUUAACGCUCCAGCCAGAGAAAGACUCAUCAUCUCCGCCGGAUGAAUUUGCAAAUUGUUCUGUCGAACUCUCUGAAGAAUUGGAUUGGUAUUUUGAUGGGGAUUGCAUUGAACCUGAUGCCCUUCAACAGUGGAAUGGAUACAGAAAAUGUGGUACAUCUACACAAUGGAAUACUACUCAGCUAUCAAAAACAAUGACUUCAUGGAAUGCAUAGGAAAGUGGAAUGAACUAGAAAAUAUCAUCCUGAGUGAGGUAACCCAGUCAGAGAAAAACACACUUGGUAUGCACUCAUUGAUAAGUGGAUAUUAGCCAAAAGGCUGGAAUUACCCAAGAUGCAAUCCACAGAUCACAGGAAGCUCAAGAAGAAGGAUGACCAAAAUGCAGGAAAUCGACAGACAGACUGGAUCUUUGGAGUGUUUGCUUGAGCUUCAGGUAGCCUAAGAUCAACACAGAAGCAAGCCCUGCCAACUGCAAGGGAAAGAGGCCCCUUGCUGUGAAAAAAUAGGAGAGGACUGCAGUGUUCUGAAUCGAACAGCAGAGGGAGACAAAGGAACAAAGGGCUCCAGAUCUGGUAAUACUUGAUAUAAACAGAGAUAUAUAAUCUUUUGAUACUUAAGGAUGAGAAACACAAUAAAUAUCUUUUAUGUUUUAUGGGAUGAUAUUUUGAAUGGUCUGACAGGGAUGGAUUUAAAGGAAAUAGACACCUUAUCAUUUACGAGUAUGGCAAUAUUUAUUCUCUUGAUUUACUAUGUCUUCUCAAAAAGACAGGGACCUAGAUAAAAAGUUCCUUGCCUUAGAAAAGAGAUUACAAGUAACACUAGAACUCAAGACACAGGAUUUUAUAGCUCAAAAUAAACAACAGAAAGAGCAGACUGAAGGCUGGAGACAGAAGCUGGAGGAGAUGCUAGAACAGAAUUUUCUGUAGUUAAUAGGAGUCUGAGCAACAGACAGAAAAGUUUAAGACUUGGCAACAUGGCCUGGAAGAAACACUAGAACUAAAGGUUCAGGGUUUCAUAGGUCAAAAUAAGCAGCAGAUGGAGGAGAAUGACUUCUGGUUUCUGCUGGCACUGGAGCUGACCCCUGUGACAUAGCUCUCUGUACCCAGAUACCUUGGGGAGAAAGCUGGAUUCUCAGAAGUGCAGAUAAUCCUGAGAGCAUAGGUGAGACCACCACUUCUGCUCACAGUCCUGGCCCAACACUUGAAGCACUCUGGACAAAAGAACCGAGGAGCAUUCUGGGACAGGAUCCUUCCGGUUUCUGCUUGCACUGGGAGCUGACCCUGUGACACAGUUCUCUGUACCUAGAUCCCGUCGGGGGAAGACCAGUCUCCAGGAGUGCUGACACACAGGCUUACAGGAGGGUCAAGCCACUGUCAGAGACAGCAAGGUCAAUUAGCACCGGAGAUCAGCAGAUGACUAGAGGCAAGGGCAAGAAACCUAAGCAACAGAGAACAAGGCCACUUGGCAUCAUCAGAACCCAGUGAACAUAGUGGAGCAUGUGUCUUUGUUGUAUGUUGGAGUACUGUUUAUGUAAAUGCCCAGGAGAGGUAUAGGUGGAUCCUCAGUUGUGCAAUGUCUAAUUUUCUGAGGAACCUCCAGCCUGAUUUCCAGAAUGGUUGUACCAGUCUGCAAUCCCACCAACAAUGGAGGAGUGUUCCUCUUUCUCCACAUCCUCGCCAGCAUCUGUUGUCACUUGAGUUUUAGAUCUUAGACAUUCUGACUGGUUUGAGGGGGAAUCUCAGAG
ensembl:lncRNA